CAAAAGAGAUAUGACAUCAAAAAAUUUACUAAUCUUGCUGCUAGUGAUUCUUUUCCUCUGGGAUAACUGAUGUUAGCAGUUUAGUGAAUAUUUUUUUCCAGUUUACUCUUUGCUCUUUCAAACAUGUUUACAAAAAUAGGAUCAUACCAUAUACCUGACUCUGCAUCUUGUUUUUUAUAUAAUAUAUCAUAAGCACAAUUUCAGGUCCAUACACAUGUACACACACACACAACAUACACACAGAUCAACUUAUUUUUAUCAGCUGCUUAACAUUUCAUAGAACAAAUGUCCCAUAAUUCAUUCAAUCAUUGCCUUAACGAUCAAUAUUUAGCGCAUUCUUUUGUUUUUGCAACAAACAUCCUUGUACAUAUCACCUUAUGUGUCUAUAUGGUUUUGUACAAAAAAUUCUCCAAAGUGGAAGUGCUGGACCAAAGGUCAUACACAUUUUAAACUCCAAUACAGAUUAGUGUCCCAAAAGAUUGUGGCAGCUCACACUCCCACCAGCCGCGUCAAAACUGCUCAACUGCCCCCGCCUGGCUGGCACUGGAUGUCAUCAAUAUUUAAUAUUUUCCCCAAUCUGAUGGGAGAAAAAUGGCAUUUGGCAUAUCGUUAUUCUUUUAAUUUGCAUUUCUAUGACUGCCUGAGAGGUUGAGCAUCUUUUCAUUUGUUUAUUGGCCAUUUGCAUUUCUGCAUCUGUGAGUUGUCUGAUCAUAUUCUUUGUCUAUGUGUCUUUCCUUAUUUUUGUUUUGUAUUUUUCUUAUCAAUUUUUAGGUACUCUUUGUAUGUUGAGAAUAUUAAUCCUUUGUCUAUCUCAUGUGUGGUCUACCUCUAUGCCAAAAAGAUCUUUGCAAGCCACAACAAGAUCUCUGCAAGCUGCAAUUCUGCAUGGAUGAAAUGCUGCAAGAUGAAACAAUAAGAAUAAAUGCAAAUUCUUAUUCUUGGGUCUGCAAGCUCAUGCUAUCCUUGGAAGGAGAAGGCGGGAUGUCCUGACCAUUCAUGACAUCAGAGGUUGAUGAGUUCAGUGGGAGGUAACAGUGGGAUACAGCUGCUAAAACAGCUGAAAAGGGACCUUCGCAUGCCUUCAUGGAGAUAGAGGGUUUACAAUGUCCUUCCCACCUCUGUGAAAGGGGCUCACUCUGGAGCCCUAGAGAAGGGUGAGAGGGCUGGAGCCCCCUUCCUGUGAGGAGUUGGCCCUGCUCAAUUUGGAACAGAGCAAGACUAUCCCUGCCUAGGGGGGAGCAGAUGAACCUCUGUGCCCAGAGGGCAGAGUGGGGUCCACGAGACAUCCCAGGGAGGUGGGUCCCAGCUGAGAGUGAGGAGGAACUUUUUCCUUAACUACCUAUUUCCAGAAUUGCAUCCCAAGUGCCUCCUACCCCUUUUCUUGCUUUAUCUUCUCCCUCACAGUGUUUGCAAUUUCUAGCAUACCAUACAUUUUAUUAAUUUUUUGUACUGUGUCCCUUUACUAAAGUGUCAGCCCCAUGAGGACGGGAGCGUUUGUUUUGUUCACUGCUGUGUCCCUUCCACAACCAUUGUUAUUGUUUCUCCCACUCAGAGCUGUGCAGAAAUGGGAUGAGCUGCUGAAUAGGUGGUGAGUGCCCCAUCAGGAGAGGCGAGCAAGCAGAAUCUGCCUGGCCACUUAGCAGGCAUUCUGUGCAGGGGGAUCCCAGUCUUCAUCUGCAGUUUUCCUACCUAGGUGAGGUCCACAGGGUGAUGCCAGAUCCCACUGCGGGGUGGAUUCAAAGGGCAGGAGGAGAUUCCGCUCAGGCAGGGCAGAGCAGGGAGAGCACAGGCAUCCAGGGGAACAGCUGAGCCCCUGGUCGCUGGAGGGUGCAGACACAGGUGGCAUGCCUACCCACCGGGGAAGUGGUCAAGGGCUGACAGUGCCAGGUGAGGGUCAGGUGCCAAGAGGGCCCUUCCCGGUUCUUGCAUUUGUGGCCACCCCGGGCCGGCAAGGAGGGGCUGCGCCAGCCAUCUCAGAGGUUCCAGCAGCCUUGCCCCUCUGCCCACAUUGGCCUAGCCUGUGGCUUUUGACAAGUGUAGAGUGAAAUCCUCUGGGCUUGACUUCUAGCUUUGCCACUGACUUGCUGUGUGACCUUCCAAAAGCCUUUUGCUUCUCUCUGCCUCAAUGUCCCCAUCUUCAAAGUGGGAAUAAGAAGAAGCACUUACAUCUUAGGGCUCUUAUGAGGUGUAAGCAAGUUAAUACUUAUAAAGUGUU
rnacentral:lncRNA from 1 species